ensembl:lncRNA
UCUUUCUGGCAACACGACCAUGCAGCUAAUUUUGGUAGACUGUUAUUAUAGAUACUGUAUAUGUGGUGUAUAUGUGGUAGACUGUAAUAAUAGAUACUACUGUAUAUAUGGUGUAUAUGUGGUAGACUGUAAUAAUAGAUACUGUAUAUAUGGUGUAUAUGUGGUAGACUGUAAUAAUAGAUACUGUAUAUGUGGUGUAUAUGUGGUAGACUGUAAUAAUAGAUGCUACUGUAUAUAUGGUGUAUAUGUGGUAGACUGUAAUAUUAGAUACUGUAUAUGUGGUGUAUAUGUAGUAGAGUGGCUACUUCUGGUAUCAGUGUGGACUGGUACUUCAUGUAUCAGUGUGGACUGGUACUUCAUGUAUCAGUGUGGACUGGUACUUCAUGUAUCAGUGUGGACUGGUACUUCAGGUAUCAGUGUGGACUGGUACUUCAUGUAUCAGUGUGGACUGGUACUUCAUGUAUCAG